UAUUGAUCUAGGUGAAAUGUUGAAUUUCUUCAGAAUAAGAAAUAUCAUAUUCCUCAUUUUGCAUAAUAACCGUGUGUUCCUUUAUAAGCGGCUGCGCCACAACAAUUAAUCGCAACCGGUGGUAUUUGUAAGGGGUGAGUCAGGGGAACCUGCUCGAAGCUGAAAUCUGGCCUGCUUACGCCUGGCAUUGAUGGAAUGCCGCCGGGAGCAGGCCGGCCACACGAUGCCCGCGAGUGUCCGCUGUUAUGAUGGUGCACCCUCGCGAUACUAGCCAUUCCUGGCAAUGAUGAAGGUCGAGAGAGUUCCAUCAUCAGUCAGAAGGAUUGAAAUACGACGUAUGCUGUUAGGUAAUAUUACUUUAAAAGAUUUUAUUUGGGACGAGGAUUAAAUCGAAAGGAUAUUGUGUUUAUUUAGUUAUACGUGUGUAAAAUAAGUUUUUGUCUCUUGAAAUAUCGUAGAAGUGUUUUCACGAAUGUUAUAAUAUAAGAAAAUAUACUUUAGUUGUGUGCA